AACGAACGCUGGCGGCAGGCCUAACACAUGCAAGUCGAGCGAGACCUUCGGGUCUAGCGGCGGACGGGUGAGUAACGCGUGGGAAUAUGCCCUUCGGUUCGGAAUAGCCCCGGGAAACUGGGAGUAAUACCGGAUACGGUCUACGGACGAAAGAUUUAUCGCCGAAGGAUUAGCCCGCGUUGGAUUAGGUAGUUGGUGGGGUAAUGGCCUACCAAGCCGACGAUCCAUAGCUGGUUUGAGAGGAUGAUCAGCCACACUGGGACUGAGACACGGCCCAGACUCCUACGGGAGGCAGCAGUGGGGAAUCUUGCGCAAUGGGCGAAAGCCUGACGCAGCCAUGCCGCGUGAAUGAUGAAGGUCUUAGGAUUGUAAAAUUCUUUCACCGAGGACGAUAAUGACGGUACUCGGAGAAGAAGCCCCGGCUAACUUCGCG
rnacentral:rRNA from 1 species